GGGACCAGCUGUUUGUGUUCUGUGCAGUUAGAUUUGUUCCGAUGUGUGUAUUUCUCUGGGUUGCAGGCGUCCAGCUGAGUGAGCAGGCAUCUGUGUGUGCUUGUUCGCAGGUGAGGGCGCCGGAGCGGGGACGGCAGGUGUGGGCAGAGCCGGCUGCAGGCCGCCGCGCGCAGAUCGGGCUCUGCGGGCAUCCCAUGCGAUGUUUUACCUCCGCGUGUUUCUCUCUCUGAGAAGUGUUUGGAGAGCCAUUGUCUCUUCCUCCUUCAGUAGUCCUGCCUUCUCAAGAGCCCCAGACCACAAAAGUGAGGAGAUUUGAUUUGAGCCCCUGCUCCACCAGCCGCCUCCACUCCAGGUGCAUUCUCUUGCUAAUUUUUGCGGGGCCCUAGGAAGUAGGUAGUAAUCAUCUCAUUUGCAGAUGAGAAAACUGAGCUCACUAGUUUAAGAAUUCCUGACGCAAUCAGAUCUUUUCAGAUGGUGCUUGGCAGUGAAAAUUUUAUGUUGUGGAGAAGUUAGAAGAGUAAAACAGGGAUUUUGUUUCAUAAAUUUAGCCCGAUUCCUAGGUUCUCCAGCUGUGAAAUACACAGAUGAGAACAGGGCAACAGCGAAGCAUGGGGAUCAUGAGAUGACAGCCCUCAAUAACUAAGGAAGGUUGGGACCUGGCACUUGUCCACUGGUCUGGCUUCUUGGGCAGCCCCUCCCUGCUGCUUCCAAUAGUGCUGUGGUCACUGGUGGUGUGUGGUCCCUUUGCUACCAUCCCAAGGAGGGAGCGAAAGGCUGGCAGGAGCCUUGUGGACCCCUGCUGGGAAAGGCUAGAGCUAUGGCACUUUGCACGUGCCGCCCCCUACUGGAGAGCUUGCAGCAGUGCAAGUCAGCUUACCCAUUUCAAAGCAGUUGAGUUUGGAAAAGACACCUUCACAAAUCUUCAUUCAUUUACAUUGUCAGCGUAUACCAGCAUUUCAUCAUGAUGACAUCUGACAAACUAAGUUCGCUUGGGGUUGAAAUGUAACAAUUUCUAAUUGGCUAAUCUUGCUAUGAAAUAAAAUCACAUUUUAUUUUGCAUGGAGAACUAAUGAUGCAAGAUUUAAAAAAAAAAUCAGUGAAAGGGUGAUAAAGAUGUUUCAUGGUGACAUAAUCCUGUGAAAGCCAGCCAGUCUCUCCCACCUCUGACCCUCCUGAAACUUCGGGAUUAAAUGGAGGAAAUGCAAUAAUGUUGUGCUGUUACUUCAUUUCAGGGGUUAGUGGUGAGGUGUGGAUCAUAGCGUUAUUUCUUAAGGACUAGUGAGUAUGUAGUAUUUUCCCUAAAGCAAUGUGAAGUCAAAUUAUUUACUUUUUAAAAGAAUCUGUAUUUAUAAAGGAAAACAAACAAGCAAACAUAACUGGGGUCUUAGAGGGUUGGGGGUAAGAGAAAGUAAUAAAUUCUAAAAUAAUUUUACAUAUUUUAAAGCUACUCUUUAAAAAACUGAGCCCAAAUUUCUCCCCGCCUCCCUGCUCUCACGCCCUUGAUGAUGUGGUUGUGAUGCAACUGCUGUCUUCGGGGCAGCUUCCUGGGCUUGGCUCAGUGCUCUGCUGUCACCUUUUGAAAUUCUUAAUAAUCUUUGAACAGGGGCCCCACAAGUCCACUUGGCACCAGGCCCCACCCUGGCUGUUGUGAACAAGGAACGCCGCAGCAGCUCCGCAGUGGUGCUGGGGUCCUGGUCUCUGUCCUGUCUCUUGCUUUCCCCUUCCCGGUGGCCGGGGUGCCCCAGGCCGGGUGGCUGCUGUGUUCCGUUUAAGCUGCCUACACUUUGGUCACUUCCUUUUCCUUUUCUGAGUGCUUUCAAACUGCUGAGAGGAGAGGAGAGCUGUAUUCAACCCAAGGGCUCAUGUACUCAGUAACACUGAGAGAUGCCUGUUGUGUGCAAGAACUUUGUGAAGGCCGGACUGAGGGAACGCAGGUGGAAAUUGCUCGGUACAAUGAGAUGCGAUCACUGCCGCAGUGAAGGUGCGGGCUGAGUGCCACCGCCCCAAGAGGAAGGUAACCUCAGCGGUUCACCUUCUGGCUCGUGCUUAGCUGUGCUUGGCAACCAGGACUGCUAGAGGAAGACGGCCAGUCUGUGAUCGUGAAAAGAAGAUAAAGAGACGGCACAGACGUGAGUUCUUCACACGUAUUUAGAGCGUGGAAAAACUCAGCUAUUUCACCAAACACACAGGAGAACCCAGGCUUCCCUUGCAAAAUCCCCCCUCAGAGCUUGAAGCAAUUAUGAGGACCUGGGAACAGGUGAAAAAAAAAGGAGACCCAGCCCUAGGAAAGUGCAGGUCUGCCCUGUAGCGGGGAGAGGGAGGCAGGACUGGGCAGGACUGGGCAGGGCUGGGCAGGACUGGGCGGGAAUGUGACUCGGGGAAGUUCGGCUCUUCAUUCUGUACCACCUGCCCACAGCUCUGUGCUACGGCCACCCUCCUCCCACCUCCUGGGGCUGGAGCUGGGGUCAAAGGCAAAAAGGACUUCAUGAAAGUCCGUGGUGUUCAGUGUCCAAUUAAUUAGUGUUGAGGGUGGAUUUAACUUUCAAGGUUUUUUUUUUUUGGCCACAGCCUAAGUUCUUUCUGUUGAACACUCCUGGGAGCCUGUGUUUAUUUCUCAUCUUGGCCAAGCUUUCAGGAGCUUUCAUUAUUCCCGCUUCCCACACAGAAACCCCACAGCUCCUCCACGAGCUGCUCUUCCUAGAGACUCCCACCCCGCCCCCUGAAUCAGUCUGGUCUAAGCACAUGCUUUCAGCCGUGAGUUAACAGCGCCGGAGCGCUGGCCUCUGGCUGCUCAGUCCCCGGCAUCAGACCGCGCCUUGCUAGAGUGAAUGUACUCAGUUACAGGGGAUCAUGAAUUACUGAUUUAUUUUGUUCUCCAAACUGCAAAAGCUCCCCGAGGCUGUGGUGAAAUUCUCUAUUGUAGCUGUCAGUAGUUGAACUAUUAAAAAAUUAGUACACACACACACACAGACUUACUUAUACAAGUGUAUACGUACCUUUAAUAUACCACAGUAUGUAAAUAACUAAGUGGCAGUUUUGAAGUGUCAACAGACUGCUGCAAAGUCAGUCUGCUCUUCCUUGUCAAUGAGCUGGAGAAUCCCGAGAAUUCUCCUCACUCCUGUGAUACUUAGUGUCUGCAAGGCCUUUAACUAUAUUCAUUUUUAUUUAAAAGUGUAAUAAUACCAGUAAGGAAAUAUAAGAAUUACUUUCAUACAAAGUAUGAACUAGGCCCCACUGGGCCCAGGGAAAGAAAGCACCUUUAGCACCGGCUCACGGAACCCGUGGUUUCAGCAAGGGCCCGGGAGGAGCUCUCACCAUCACUCAGUCAAGGAGCACGGGGCAUUCACCGCGUGUCCCGCCCUGUGCUGGGCACCAUGGAGUUUCAGGGAAGUGUAACAGCUGCCUGCAAGGGCCCCACCUCUGACUGAAGAGGUGUCCGCUGGCGGGGAUGCACACAGGUGUGCACCGGCAAAACACGGCCACUUCUUGUUCUCAGCAUCGCCAUUGUCCAUGUUCAUAGUCCAUUUUGAAUUAAUUAACUAAACUAGCCAAGAAAGACAGACUAGGGCCAUACCGAAUGAAGUUACUGGUCUUAUGAUCUUGCCUCCCACCGCCUUUCCUGCACUGUCCAUCUCGCCCCUUCCUUUAGCUCAUGCCCGUCAGCACAGAAGCACGCCCUGGGCUUGGUCCCGGCUUUCUGCUUACUCUUCUAACUCAUCUCAUCACAAGUCACUAAAUACCACCUGUAUGAUCACAAGUCUAGACUCUCUAUCUCCCUCUCAGCCUGUUCCUAGGAGCUCCAGACUCACAGUCAGCUGGCACCUCUGACACUGCCUCAGGAGUGUCUUGCAGGCACCUCGAACUUAAGUCCUAAACUUAACUUCAGAAUUUCCACCAAGUCUCACCCCCACCCCACUUCCCCAUCACAAGAAAUGACAUAUGUCCAUCCACCUAGUUAUCCUGUCACACUGGAGUCAUUUUAAAUUCUUUACUCCUCACAUAAAACCAUAAGCAAAUCCUUUUAUGUCUGUUUCCAAAGCACAUCUUAAACCCGUCUGCCUCUCUCCACCGCGCUACUUGACGUUACCACCCACCUGGUCUAUUGCACUCAUUUCUUCUGCGUCCACUCUUGCUCUCCUUCAGUCUAUGCUCCACAUAGUAGCCAGAGUCAUCUUAAAAAGCAUAAAUCAUAUACAUCAGUUCCUUCCUUAAAACCCUUUAAUGGCUUCCCAGUAUAAUUUGUAUAAAAUCCAGAGUCUUUAACAGGGCCUGCUGGCCCCAGGCAUUCUCCGGUUUCACCUCACGUGCUUCUCCCAUCACUUGCUAGGAUCCAGCGGAACUGUUCACUUCCAGGGUCUCCAACGUGACCCGCUCCUCCCGCUGCGGGACCCUCACACACUCUGGUUUCCUGCACUGCAUGCUCUCCACUCUGGCCCUCCUGGUGGCUGACUCCUUCACACCUUUCAGCUCUCAGCGUCUUUGUUACCUCCCCAGAAAGGCCUUUUCUCAUCACCCCAUCAAAGCACCCACCCAUCCCCAACAGACACACACACACACACACCUCAUCAUUAUGUAGCAAAAUGUCUUGUUUAUGUCAUUAUUUAUAGCAAUUAUUUAUCCUCUCACCCACUCCAUGAAGGCAGGAACCAGUUUCCUGGCUCACUGCUUGUUCAUCUAGCGUUGCACCUGCAUCCUGAGAGGGCUCAGUAAGUAUCUGGUAAAUGAAUGAGAGAAAGGAAGGAUCUGUGUGAGCUUGGGUGGCCAGGAAAGAUUCUGUGGUGGUUGCGGUACAUGAGGCGGUCCUUCUAAUUAAGCUGGGGGUCGGGACACCGUCGGAACGACACACAUGAGGGAAUGAGCAUGGGAAUGAGCAAGUGAAGACAGUCAGGCCAGCUGACAUUGAAGGGAACAGCUUAACCAAAAUAGAUCAUUUGAGUCACAGAAUGUGAAACUUGAAAAGAGAGAAAAAGAAGAAUGGCUCCCAAAACCAAGGAAAGAAAUUUCAUUUUGAAAUGGGAAGCCACUGUUUGGUCUUGAUCAGGGGAAUUGCAUGAUAAAUAUUUUAUAAAAUGAGUCUGGCAGGGGCGUGCAGAGUAAAUGGAAGGAAGCAGCCCCAAAGCGGGAAGAGCUGAGUAGCGGCUUGCACACGCUGUCCAGGGUGGAGGAGGUGAGGCUGCUGGCAGGCACGAUGGAGAGUGAGGGGUGGAGCCAAGAGAGCUGUGAUGGAAGAGACCCUAAGACAUCAUUUAGGUACUUGAGGGGAGGAGCGGGAGGGGUCAAAACUGAUGUUGAGAUUCUGAGACUGAGAAACUGGAAGCAAGCCAGAAUCAUGGUGCUGGAAAGGACCAACCGACGGGUCUACCGUGUUCCUGACAGGUAUGUGAAUGUCAUCUGUUCUAAUACUUAGAAAAUUCUGCCACACAAAGAAUCAGGCUUCUUUUAGCUUUUUGUCUAUCCCAGUUCUGCCCCUGGGGGUAAAUACAGAAUAGAGACAGUCCUUAUUUCAGAUGCCAGUCUUUCAAAUAGUUGAAAACAAGGUCUUCUGUCCUUCUUAAUUUUGUUUUUCCCAGGCUAGUCCCCUUGGCCAUCAGUCAAGUCCCAUGAGACCUGAUUUUGAGUUCCCUAACCGCUCUCACAGUUUUUUUUUAAUAUUUAAUAUAUUUUAUAUUUUAUUUAAUCUUUAAUACAUAUUAAGCAAAAGCAGUAAUCAAGUUGACUUACAGUUAUUCUUCUUGCAGGUCCUUUUUCCUAAAUAUAAAAGAGAUGUUUGGGCUAUUUGGUCUCUAAAUUUGCUUUUUUUUUAAAUUUAUUUUUAUUUUUUAAUUGAAGUAUAGUCGAUUUACAAUGUUGUGUUAGAUUCUUUUGUGCAGCUCAGUGAUUCAGCUAUAAAUAUAUAUUCCUUUUCAUAUUCUUUUUCAAUAUAGGUUAUUACAGUACAUGGAAUAUAGUUCCCUGUGCUGCACAGCAUGACUUUGUUGUUCGUCCGUUUUAUACAGAGACAGCUCUCACAGUUUUAUCCUGCUUUAUUAUAGUUUAUAAACUCCUUGAAAGCACAAUACCCAGAACCCAAGAGAACGUUUGGUGCCCGAGUGCUGUCUGAUCAGCACAGAGCUCAGUGAGACUGUCACUUCCUUUUAUUUGAACGUAGUUCUACUAAUAGGUGAAAGUUUGUUUUUAAAGAAUUCUUUUCUGCUAUGGGGUCACUUUGGAAUUUCAGGAAAUGGAAACCCCAAGAUCUUUUUCAUGUAAAAUAAGUCAUUGCCCCAAUCCUAUAUAAUUCUUGCUUAUUUUUUAUCCUGAAUUCCAAAUUUUAUGGUUAUUCCUCUUUAAUUUCAAUAUUAAUUUUAAUCUAUUAUUCCAGAAUCUUAAAGUCCUUAAAAACUGGUUCUAACAUUCUUGGUUCUCUCUAAUUUUUGUAUCAAAAGCAAAGCUGUUAAGAUUUUCAUCCAAGUGACAAAAGGGCCAGUAUAAAAUCCUGAAUUACUCUUUUUUUUUUAAAACCUAUUUCUUUGUACUGUGGUAAAAAAAAUACCAUUUUAAUCAUUUUUAAGUGUAUAGUUCUGUGGCAAUAAGUACAUCAUUGUGAUUCAACCAUCACUACCAUCCAUCCCCGGGACUCUUUUCAUCUUGAAAAACUGAAACUCUGUACCCAAUAAAUAAUAACUCCCCAUUUCUCCCUCCCCAGCCAGCCUCUGGCCACCACCAUUCGACUCCAUCUCUAUGAAUAUGACUACUCUGGGUACCUCAUAUAAGUGGAAUUAUCAUAUAGUACUUGUCCCUUUGUGACUGGCUUAUUUUACUUAGCAUAAUUUCUUCAAAGUUCAUCCAUGUUGUAGCAUGUGUGAGAAUUUCCUUCCUUUUCAGGGCUGAGUAAUAGUUCUUUGUGUGUAUAUAUCCAAUUUUUAAAAAUCCGUUCCUCUCUCAAAGGACACUUGAGUUACUUCUACCUUUUGGCUGUUGUAAAUAUUGCUGCUAUAAACAUGGGUAUACAAAAUGAUGAUCUCCAGGUCCAUCCAUGUUGCUGAAAAUGACAUUAUUUUAUCCUUUUUUAUGGCUGAGUAGUUAGUAUUCCACCAUGCAUAUACACCACAGCUUCUUCAUCCAGGCGUCUGUUGGUGGACGUUUAGGCUGUCUCCACGUCUGGGCUGUUGUAACAGUGCUGCUGUGACCACUGGGGUGCAGGUGUCUUUUUGAAUUAGUUUCCUUUGGAUAUACACCCAGGAGUGGGAUUGCUGGAUCAUAUGUGCCUACAAAGCUAGGAGCUAUGGAUACAGCAGUGAACUGCUCAGGAGAGGUCCCGCCCUGCCCUCACCAAGCUCGUAGUCUAUUAACUGAAGAAGUCAGACACUGAACAGCGAUUACAAGCACAACUCUGGCAUGAAAGAAGGAAAGGCAGCUGCUGACAUGUGAGACUGAGAAACAGCAACUAACCAAACGGAUUUUACCUCAUUUCUUGGGACUCUCUGACUUACUGGUCUUCUAACCCUCUCCCACCAAAAAAGAAAUAGGUCACUCAACUGCCCAUUCUUAACGGCCAUCACUGCUUUCUUCCCUAAGUGUGCGCAGACUUGUACUUGUUCAGAGUCCACUCUGGCUCUGCUGGAGGCCAACGGGCUCGUGGUCUGCAGAUUCUGGAGUCUAACAUUUCAUGGGUUUUAAACAACAAGGACCACAUUUGCCUUUGUAUGUUGGCUCUCUGAGCCUAAAAAUUUGAUAGCAUCUUAAUUUCUCAGAGAUAAUUCUCUGAAGUGACACUGGUAACUUCCUUAUGUACCUUGGGGUAUUACUCGCUGGAUAUGAAGAGCUGAAGUCAUUAAAAGCAACCAGGUGUUAUGUGCUCA